rnacentral:rRNA from 1 species
UCCUGGCUCAGAACGACGCUGGCGGCAGGCUUAAUACAUGCAAGUCGAGCGCCUGUAGCAAUACAGGAGCGGCGCACGGGUGCGUAACACGUGGGAAUAUGCCUUUUGGUACGGAACAACCACUGGAAACGGUGGCUAAUACCGUAUGGUCCCUCCGGGGUAAAGAUUUAUCGCCAAAAGAGUAGCCCGCGGCAGAUUAGCUAGUUGGUGAGGUAAUGGCUCACCAAGGCGACGAUCUGUAGCUGGUCUGAGAGGACGAUCAGCCACACUGGGACUGAGACACGGCCCAGACUCCUACGGGAGGCAGCAGUAGGGAAUAUUGGACAAUGGGGGAAACCCUGAUCCAGCCAUGCCGCGUGAGUGAUGAAGGCCUUCGGGUUGUAAAGCUCUUUUAUCCACGAAGAUAAUGACUGUAGUGGAAGAAUAAGCCCCGGCUAACUUCGUG